UCGGUCAAAUUCAUUUUCUUUAGUCAUACUGGUUCCGAUAUCACGAAAUCAUGAGGACCUUUGCUCUUUUAGUGAUUUUUGGUUGCGUUCUUCUCACUGCAAAUGUUCUAUCUCUAAAAUAUGUAACUGUUGAACCAACGACAGAAGAGAUCGAGGAUGAUUUUGAUGACGAUGAAGAUGAACCUAUUAAUGGUGGAAUGGGUACUAGUGUGGAUACAGAUGAAGUGAAUACUCUUGUGAAAGAUACGAUAGAUUCAUUUAAUGUUACGGUUGGUUAUAAAGAAAAAGAUGACGAUGAGUAUGAAAAGGCAAAGUGCUCAAAGAAAUGCAGGGACACAGCCAUGAAGUAUAUAACGAAAGGUGAAGUCGGCAAAUACUAUAAUUCUCUUGUAACGUGUAUGAAGACAUAAAAAGAAAGGAGCAUUAUCCAUUCUCAAUGCAUCCAAAAAGAUGUGUAUCAAAAAAAUGCUUUAUGUCUGUGUCGCAGUGCAUUAUGACGCAAGGAUCUCCUAAAGAAUGUGGAGCAAGCUAAACUCUGCAUAAAUGAUUGUCGGCAGAACUUCACUGCGAACAACACUCUUGGCAUGACUUGUAUGCAUAACUGUACCGAUGAAUUGAUAAACUGCUUAAAUAGUACGGAAGAUUUCUCUACGUGUUUUCAAAAGAUGCCUUUUUGCGUCAUGAAAUGCAAGAGCGAUUCUUAUCCCAUGAGUUCCGUUUCGCCAUUCAAAGAAUGUAUGGUAGAUUGCACAGAAUCGUUUAUUAAAUGCUUGAAGAGCAGCAAAGAUAAAGACACAUGCUAUAAAACGUAUGAAUCAUGUUUCAUGAAAUGCAAGAAGAAACAUUUACCAAAUAUAAGCAAAGCUGUCGAAUGCAAGAAAAAAUGCGGAGAAGCAUUUGCCGAAUGCUUGGAAAGCAGCGGAGGAGUGUACAAGUGUUUUGAUGUUUUGGUAUCAUGCACCAAGAACUGCAAGGACCAACAUUUGAAAAGUUCAACAAAUUUUUCAAGUGUAUGAAAACAUGUAACCUCAAUAUGAAAGGUUUCAAGUGUCGCCUAAGAUUACUUAAUCCUAACGACGUAAAAUUUCAGUGCUUGAGACAAUGCAAGAUACAAGGUGUUCCAUUCGUUUCAAGCUUAAAACAAAUGGGAUCUGGGCUCUUUUCACAGCUGAAGAAUCUUGUUUUGGACGUGCAAAUCUGUCACCAAACUCAAAGUCACCUGGAUUUAAAUGGCCGAACAAGUACCAAAAGUAUCCUAAGUUUUCAGGACAAUCACGACAUCGUUCCUCCAAGUUUUAAGACAUGGCCACGUCAUUCCCCACUUUUCCUCGAAGAAUGCCAAAGCGUUUCUCUAAAUUCCGAAAAAUAGCAAGGAAAUGGCAACGAAAAAAUGGAGCAGCAUCCAUACUGGGUUAAAUGUUCCAGAGCACUUUGUUUUACUAAAUUACUUUUGGAGAUAUAUGGUACAGUCAGAAUUAUUAACAAUAAUCAGGUUAUUGCAUGAUUGGAAUUAAUUUGGGAAUAUAUAGACAGUCAAUGUAUUCUUAAUUAAUUUAAUUACUCAGAUGUUGAAAUUAUCACUAAAAUAAAAUAUAUUUUUAUAUGUUUUGCCUAAA